CGACCGCUAUUGGAAUUCGAUUAAGCCAUGCGAGUCGAGAGUCCUCGGGACUCGGCAUACUGCUCAGUAACACGUGGAUAACCUGCCCUGUUCUAGGGGAUAACCUCGAGAAAUUGAGAAUAAUACCCUAUAGUCCACUACGCCUGGAACGGUGAGUGGAUAAAAGCUCCGGCGGAACAGGAUGGGUCUGCGGCAUAUCAGGUAGUAGUGGGUGUAAUGGACCCACUAGCCUUCGACGUGUACGGGUGUUGGGAGACAUAGCCCGGAGAUGGAUUCUGAGACACGAAUCCAGACCCUACGGGGUGCAGCAGGCGCGAAAACUUCACACUGCGGGAAACCGCGAUGAGGGAAUUCCAAGUGUCUGGGGUAAGACCCAGUCUUUUCUUGACUCUUAAUAGGUCUUGGAAUAAGGGGGGGGGUAAGACCGGUGCCAGCCGCCGCGGUAAUACCGGCCCCCCAAGUGGUCGUCACUUUUAUUGGGCCUAAAACGUCCGUAGCCGGUUUAGUAAACCCGUGGGUAAAUCAACCAGCUUAACUGGUUGAAUUCUGCGGAGACUGCUAGACUAGGGACCGGGAGAGGUACGAGGUACUCUUGGGGUAGGGGGUAAAAUCCUGUCAUCCCAGGGGGACCACUUGUUGCGAAGGCGUCGUACUAGAACGGAUCCGACGGUCAGGGACGAAGCCUAGGGGCACGAACCGGAUUAGAUACCCGGGUAGUCCUAGGUGCAAACGCUGUGGACUUGGUGUUGGGGGAUUCAUGGAGGGUUUCCAGUGCCGAAGCGAAGGUGUUAAGUCCACUGCCUGGGGGAGUACGGUCGCAAGGCUGAAACUUAA
rnacentral:rRNA from 1 species